AACGAACGCUGGCGGCAUGCCUAACACAUGCCAGUCGAACGAGACCUUCGGGUCUAGUGGCGCACGGGUGCGUAACGCGUGGGAACCUGCCCUUAGGUUCGGAAUAACUCCCCGAAAGGGGUGCUAAUACCGGAUAAUGUCUUCGGACCAAAGAUUUAUCGCCUUGGAUGGGCCCGCGUUGGAUUAGCUAGUUGGUAGGGUAAAAGCCUACCAAGGCGACGAUCCAUAGCUGGUCUGAGAGGAUGAUCAGCCACACUGGGACUGAGACACGGCCCAGACUCCUACGGGAGGCAGCAGUGGGGAAUAUUGGACAAUGGGCGAAAGCCUGAUCCAGCAAUGCCGCGUGAGUGAUGAAGGCCUUAGGGUUGUAAAGCUCUUUUACCCGGGAUGAUAAUGACAGUACCGGGAGAAUAAGCUCCGGCUAACUCCGUG
rnacentral:rRNA from 1 species